rnacentral:rRNA from 1 species
UGUAAAUGUUAAUUUUUACCAGAGUAGUAUUAGUUAUGAUCUUGAAAUUUAAAAAUUUUGGCGGUAUUUUAGUCUAUUCAGAGGAACCUGUUCUAUAAUUGAUAGUCCACGAUAAAUUAUACUUUAUUUAAUAAUUUAUAUAUCGUCGUUAUUAAAUAUUUUAUAAGAAUUAUAAUAUUUAAGAUUUUUAAUUAAAAAAUAUAUCAGAUCAAGGUGUAGUUUAUAAUAAAGAAGAAAUGGGUUACAAUAAAAUUAUUUUUGAAUUUGUAUAUAAAAAUAUAUGAUGAAAUUGGAUUUGAUAGUAAUAAAUUUUAUAUUUAAUUUAUGAUUUUAGCUCUAAAAU